GGACAAGUCCCAGGCCCCUGUUACUUGAAAUUUGUCAUGUAGGUGUAGUUGGAGUCUAGCGGGUGUUCCUAGGUUGACAUAAGAUGUCUGGAGCUGUGAAGUUACCCUGCAGCACUUUGACUUUUGUCUUAGCUUUCUUUCAGAUGCGGACGGAUGAAAUCAGUGGCAGAGCGCCCCAUCCAGGGUAAGGGGGUUCCCGCGAGAAGGUAAGUCAAUGUUUGUCUUUGCAGGGCAACUGGAACCGGUCACUGUGUGACAGGUCUCCUCUUUGUCUUUAUUUUUAGGAAGUAGAGCCAGCUGGCAGCAGUCAAGGCGAAGUGGGCAAGGCGGUCCAGUCGCGUUUCGCCGAGACGUCCUUGCCAACCGGCCGGCACAGCUGCUUCACCGCUCCCGUGAGCCCUGCGGAAGCGUUAUGGAACCGUGUGACGGAGCGUUUUCCACGUAAAGGGGCCAUGUGUGUGGCCUUCAGGAACGGGCCGAGGGGUUGCCGCGCGCCCUGUGACGACGGCGUCCGGCUCCCAGUGUGGCCGAAGCGCGCGGCCUCAGGAUGUGGCCGAGCGCAGGAGACCGUGA